rnacentral:rRNA from 1 species
CCUACGGGGGGCAGCAGUGAGGAAUAUUGGUCAAUGGACGAGAGUCUGAACCAGCCAAGUAGCGUGAAGGAUGACUGCCCUAUGGGUUGUAAACUUCUUUUAUAUGGGAAUAAAACGUUCCACGUGUGGGAUUUUGUAUGUACCAUAUGAAUAAGGAUCGGCUAACUCCGUCCCAGCAGCCGCGGUAAUACGGAGGAUCCGAGCGUUAUCCGGAUUUAUUGGGUUUAAAGGGAGCGUAGGUGGAUUGUUAAGUCAGUGGUGAAAGUGUGCGGCUCAACCGUAAAAUUGCAGUUGAAACUGGCAGUCUUGAGUACAGUAGAGGUGGGCGGAAUGCGUGGUGUAGCGGUGAAAUGCUUAGAUAUCACGAAGAACUCCGAUUGCGAAGGCAGUUCACUGGACUGCAACUGACACUGAGGCUCGAAAGUGUGGGUAUCAAACAGGAUUAGAUACCCGUGUAGUC